AUUGAACGCUGGCGGCAUGCUUUACACAUGCAAGUCGGACGGCAGCACAGAGAAGCUUGCUUCUUGGGUGGCGAGUGGCGAACGGGUGAGUAAUAUAUCGGAACGUACCGAGUAAUGGGGGAUAACUAAUCGAAAGAUUAGCUAAUACCGCAUAUUCUCUGAGGAGGAAAGCAGGGGACCUUUGGGCCUUGCGUUAUUCGAGCGGCCGAUAUCUGAUUAGCUAGUUGGUGGGGUAAAGGCCUACCAAGGCGACGAUCAGUAGCGGGUCUGAGAGGAUGAUCCGCCACACUGGGACUGAGACACGGCCCAGACUCCUACGGGAGGCAGCAGUGGGGAAUUUUGGACAAUGGGCGCAAGCCUGAUCCAGCCAUGCCGCGUGUCUGAAGAAGGCCUUCGGGUUGUAAAGGACUUGUGUCAGGGAAGAAAAGGCUGUUGCUAAUAUCAAUAGCU
rnacentral:rRNA from 1 species